AUUGAACGCUGGCGGCAGGCCUAACACAUGCAAGUCGAACGAGCGGGAGAGGGGUGAGAAAUGCCUGGAAAUUGCCCAGUCGAGGGGGAAAACAGUUAAACACUACUGCUAAUACCUCAUAAGCGUGUCUUGCCCAGGUGGGAUUAGCUAGUGGGUGAGGUAAGGGCUCACCAAGGCGACGAUCCCUAGCUGGUCUGAGAGGAUGAUCAGCCACACUGGAACUGAGACACGGUCCAGACUCCUACGGGAGGCAGCAGUGGGGAAUAUUGCACAAUGGGGGAAACCCUGAUGCAGCCAUGCCGCGUGUGUGAAGAAGGCCUUCGGGUUGUAAAGCACUUUCAGCGAGGAGGCGUUACUCGCAGAAGAAGCACCGGCUAACUCCGUGCCAGCAGCCGCGGUAAUAC
rnacentral:rRNA from 1 species